rnacentral:rRNA from 1 species
GUGGGGAAUAUUGCACAAUGGGCGAAAGCCUGAUGCAGCGACGCCGCGUGAGGGAUGACGGCCUUCGGGUUGUAAACCUCUUUCAGUAGGGACGAAGCGCAAGUGACGGUACCUGCAGAAGAAGCACCGGCUAACUACGUGCCAGCAGCCGCGGUAAUACGUAGGGUGCGAGCGUUGUCCGGAAUUACUGGGCGUAAAGAGCUCGUAGGCGGUUUGUCACGUCGUCUGUGAAAUCCUAGGGCUUAACCCUGGACGUGCAGGCGAUACGGGCUGACUUGAGUACUACAGGGGAGACUGGAAUUUCUGGUGUAGCGGUGGAAUGCACAGAUAUCAGGAAGAACACCGAUGGCGAAGGCAGGUCUCUGGGUAGUAACUGACGCUGAGGAGCGAAAGCAUGGGUAGCGAACAGGA